AAUUAUAUUAUAUUAUUAUAUUUCAAAUAAACAAAAUUGUUGAUAACUGCAUGGUGUAUAUGAUGACAUGUGGAAAAAUGAAAUACAUAAGUAAUGAUUACAUAUUUCCUUAUUAUUUAAGUAAGUAAUAUUAUAUUAUUAUUUUAUUGUUAUUAUAUUAAACUAACUAAAUAAAAGAAAUAAAAAGAUGGAAAAAGAGAAAUGGAAACAGAAUAGGCAAACGAUAACAGGGGAGAAAGGAAAGCAAAAGAAAAAGGGAAGCAAAGGAAGAAAAUUUGGGAUUUCAAGAUUCCAAGCUCAAUGGGUAAGUUAAAUUAAGUCCUUUUUUAUAAUUUUUGAGUUUUUGGUAUCCUAGAACAAAGUAUUAUUGGAUUUAUGUUGAAAUUAGGGGUUAAAUUGAUUAAAUUUCAAGUUAGAAGUUAGUAAAAGGUUGAUUUGUAAAAUAAAUUAUAGGCUUUGAAUUAAUAGGGACUAAAUUGAGAGAAUUUUAAAAUUAGGGAUUUAUGGUGAAAAUGAAGAGUUAAAGUGAAUUUAUAGUAAGAAUUAAGAGAGAAUAUAGAGUUAGAAUGGGAAAAUAAAAUUAGUAUUGAUAAGGGAUUAAAUUGGAAUUUGGGUAAAGUUUAGGUAUAAAAGGAAAUAUUUUAAGAAAAUUGUGUAUUAAUGAUUUUUAAUUGUUUAAUUACGUAGCUAAUGUCAUGCAAGAGUCAUUGUCCGAGAAAGGAAAUGAGAAGGUGAACAAGGAGUGACUCGAGAAAAUUUACGGUUAGUAUUACCAUAAUUCGAAUUUAAUUAUUAAUUGUUAAAAUUUAAAUUAAUAUACAUGAUAAACAAAUUGAAGUAAGUAUCAUGAUUGAAUUGAAUGAUAAAUAAAUAUUGAUAUUGAAUUUAUUAAUAGCAAUUGUUGAAAUUUGAAUAAUAUGUUUAGUAAAUAAAAAUAAGGUGAAUAUCGAUAUUGAAUUAAAUGAUAUUGAAUUGUAUGUGAAUUGAAUGAAAUUAAAAUGAAGUAUGAAUAUGUAUGAGCAAUUGAAAAAUGUAUUGAAUUAAAUUGUGAUUAAAUUGGAAUUGAAAGUAUGAGAAAGUGAUUGAAUUGAAAUGUGAUUCGAAUACCCUAUUAACUUAUCGGACUAGAUUGGAUACAAAUGGCAUGCCAUAGGAUUUGUGAUGUGAUGAGGAGAUUUGUAGCUCGGCCGAGAAGAUGAUUAUGUUAUUAUAUGCUUCGGUUUAUCCGAAGAGGCAUUUAAUGUCUUAUUGUUGUGUUUGGGAGGAUAUGAUAUAUUGGUGUGUUAUGGAGGAUUUAUAUUUAUUUCGGGUGUGUUUUGGUUGGAUAUUCUAGUGUGUUUGGAUGGAAUCCGCGUAUCUGUCAGAGUCCGAGUCAAGUUAAUAGGGGCAAAUGAAUAAUUUUGAUAAUAUAAAUUUUAUUGAAUGAUCUUGAAUAUGAAUCGAAAAGAGAUAGUAAAUUGAGAUAUAGAAAAUGAAAUGUAUAAACUAUGGGUUCAAGAAAUAGAUAAUGAUAUAGUUCAUGAAGUGGUUUUGGUAGUAUGAGAUAAUGUAAAAAAAAAAAAAAAUAUAAGUGAAUAAAAGCAAAUUAAAAUAGCUAUUGUUAAGAAAUGAGAAGUGAAAAUAAAAUGAUUUGAAAUAGUGAAAUAAUAUGUGAAUUUAAUUGAAUACAAGUUAUUGAAAUUUAUUUAUGAAUUUAAUGAAUAAAUUGAGUGUUAAAAUAUUUUUAGUGUAAAUUGAUUAUAAUGAACAAAUCGAAUUAAAAGAUAGU
rnacentral:lncRNA from 1 species